GAUUAGCUAGUUGGUGAGGUAAAGGCUUACCAAGGCGACGAUCAGUAGCUGGUCUGAGAGGACGACCAGCCACACUGGGACUGAGACACGGCCCAGACUCCUACGGGAGGCAGCAGUGGGGAAUUUUGGACAAUGGGGGAAACCCUGAUCCAGCCAUGCCGCGUGAGUGAAGAAGGCCUUCGGGUUGUAAAGCUCUUUCAGCCGGAACGAAACGGUCACGGCUAAUACCUGUGACUACUGACGGUACCGGAAGAAGAAGCACCGGCUAACUACGUGCCAGCAGCCGCGGUAAUACGUAGGGUGCGAGCGUUAAUCGGAAUUACUGGGCGUAAAGCGUGCGCAGGCGGUUUUGUAAGUCAGAUGUGAAAUCCCCGGGCUUAACCUGGGAACUGCGUUUGAAACUACAAGGCUAGAAGGG
rnacentral:rRNA from 1 species